rnacentral:rRNA from 1 species
UACAGAGGGGGCAAGCGUUGUUCGGAAUUACUGGGCGUAAAGGGCGCGUAGGCGGCCUGUUAAGUCGAACGUGAAAUCCCCGGGCUCAACCCGGGAACUGCGUCCGAAACUGGCAGGCUCGAAUUCGGGAGAGGGAUGCGGAAUUCCAGGUGUAGCGGUGAAAUGCGUAGAGAUCAGGAGGAACACCCGUGGCGAAGGCGGCUCCCUGGUCCGGUUCUGACGCUGAGACGCGAAAGCGCGGGGAGCGAACGGG